rnacentral:pre_miRNA from 1 species
UUGAUGAAUUUUAAGACUUCAAUUUGCAUACUUGAUGGAUUUGAAGACAUCAACAUGCAUACUUUGAGUAUUUGAAGACUUCAACU